rnacentral:rRNA from 1 species
CAGGCCUAACACAUGCAAGUCGAACGCUGUAUUUAUACAGAGUGGCGCACGGGUGAGUAACACGUGGGAAUCUGCCCUUCUCUGCGGGACAACAGUUGGAAACGACUGCUAAUACCGCAUACGCCCUUCGGGGGAAAGGUCCGCCGGAGAAGGAGGAGCCCGCGUCUGAUUAGCUUGUUGGUGGGGUAAUGGCCUACCAAGGCGACGAUCAGUAGCUGGUCUGAGAGGAUGAUCAGCCACACUGGGACUGAGACACAGCCCAGACUCCUACGGGAGGCAGCAGUGGGGAAUAUUGGACAAUGGAGGAAACUCUGAUCCAGCAAUGCCGCGUGUGUGAUGAAGGCCCUAGGGUUGUAAAGCACUUUCAUUGGUGAAGAUGAUGACGGUAACCAAAGAAGAAGCCCCGGCUAACUUCGUGCCAGCAGCCGCGGUAAUACGAAGGGGGCGAGCGUUGUUCGGAAUUACUGGGCGUAAAGGGAGCGCAGGCGGUUCAAUUAGUUAGGCGUGAAAGCCCCGGGCUCAACCUGGGAACUGCGCUUAAUACUGUUGAGCUAGAAUACAGAAGAGGAUAGUGGAAAUCCCAGUGUAGAGGUGAAAUUCGUAGAUAUUGGGAAGAACACCGGUGGCGAAAGCGGCUAUCUGGUCUGUU